rnacentral:lncRNA from 1 species
GGCUGAGUAACUGAAGUAAGUAGAAAUUAACCGCAGUGUACCAAGCAAGCUUACCUUGGCAGCCAGCUUCAACGUUUUGACAAGUAUGAUUGCUCUCAACUGGAGGGUUGCCCCAGUUGCUGUCCUUGUUGCUGAGACCGGAGGGCAGAGUCUGGACAUUGAUCCUGUUUCCACACUCUUCUGGAAGAAGCAAACAUCUUCGAUUAGGUUGGUAGAUCCCAAUCGGGAAGCUGGCCCAUGUGACAUAUUAACCACUUGGCCCUCAGCUUUAAAGACAGAACAUCUACUGGUUCACUGAGAGGCUGGGAAGUACUUUACCUGUACAGCAUCUAGUAUCUUCUCCAGUGGUUACGCUCAUGCUGUCUGCCCCCUGUACCAAACAGAGAUGAACACCAGAGUAAGAAGAAAUGUCUCCACACACCAACUCAAAGAAGCGGCAUGGCUCUAAGCACACAUAAAGACGAAUUGCUGAGCUGUACUGGAAGACAGAACAUUUUUCAGUUGUGACCACCUGUCAUUAAAUUUUGCUCUAUAAUUAUUCCAUUAGAGUGGAAGCAAUUAAUUAGGAGGCAUUGCUAUUAGUAGAAGGAAACUGUCAAAAUUGUUUCUCUUGGUGCCAGUUCUGACCAUCUGCAGGACAUCUAGAUGUUUAUUACUGCUAAUGACUUUGGAAAUGGAAAUUCAUAUGCAGAUGGCUCUCAGAGGACUUCCUGCCAAGCACAGAAAAAGCGACGUGUGGCUUUUCCAGGGCUGAGCACACAAGUGCCCCAACCCCACAGUGUAGCUGGCCACUUCCUGCCUCUGACAGACACGGGGGGUUGGGAAGGGGCUUGGAGCAGAACUAGCCUUGAAGGAAACAGAGUUUCCACAUCUUAAAAACAACCCUUUUUUGGUUGGGCAUGGUGGAACUCAGGACUCUCAGGCAGGUGGAUCUCUGUGAGUCCCAGGCAGGAUAAUGCCACAUAGUGAGAUCCUGUCUCAACACCACCACCACGCUUUUCUGUAAGUCUUGCUCUGGGCUUUCUUUGGUACCUGGAAGUGAUGGCUUUAGCAUGCACUGCCUAAUGACCCCUAAAGUGUGAGGGUGACAACCCAAACAGGUGUCCAGAUGAACACAACCUUCAGCACCCCUGCCAUCGAAGCUCUCACCCCUGUGGUUUCCUAGUGUGCAGGCCCCUCUCAGUCACCCUGAGAAGAGGGAGAGUGAAGAGUCUCAUGAAGUUUACAGCUCUUAGUGGAAUGUAACACAUUUCUCCUCACCAGCUGGGCUGAAUGAUAGCCAGGGGCAGGCCAAAGCUUCAACUCAGGCGCCAUUUGUUCACAGGGUGACUGAAUCGGCCCUAGACUUUGAUGUUGGCUACCUGUGGGGUGUACCCCACCCCAUCUGCCAGGCCAUAGUCCCUGCAGUGACCCUGACGGCUCACAUUCACGAAGUUAUGUUAUUAUUGCAUGUUGUGAACGUGUGGCGACUAUGCCCAUGAUGAACACUGCCAAUUUGAACAUAAGCAUUUUGAGCCUUUUCUAA